CGCCCGUCAAACUAUGAGAGCUGAUAGUGUCUAAAACCGUGUUGCUAACCGUAAGGAAGCGCAUGUCUAGGGCAAGAUCGGUGAUUGGAGUUAAGUCGUAACAAGGUACCCCUACGAGAACGUGGGGGUGGAUCACCUCCUUUCUAUGGAGUAUAAACAAGUUUUAUACACCUUUUACAAAAAUGGUGCUUUUUAAAAUCCAACUAAAAUACUUAUCACCCAUCCAAAGCAAUUUGAGUAUAGUAUUUGUUGGUCAUGAUUUUAUCCAGUUCUGAGAGAAUUCAUUCUCUCAAUGAAUCUGGGCCUUGAGUGGCCCAGAAUCAUUAGAUGGUUCUUUGAAAACUGAAUACAACAAAUCUUUCUAGUUCUCGUAAGAUAAAAUGCAAAUUUUAUCUUGCAAAACAAUUAAAAAUGCUAAUGGAUUACAUAAAAUAAGUUACUAAGGGCUUAUGGUGGAUGCCUAGGCACUAGAAGGCGAUGAAGGACGUGCAAAUCUGCGAAAAGCUGCGGGGAGUUGGUUGGAAACGCUAAUCCGCAGGUAUCCGAAUGGGGCAACCCAGCAUGGCGAGAUCCAUGUUAUUUUAUUCUGAAUUCAUAGGAAUAAAAAGCGAAACGUUGUGAAGUGAAACAUCUCAGUAACAACAGGAAAAGAAAACGAAAGUGAUUCCGUGUGUAGCGGCGAGCGAAAGCGGAACAGGCCAAACCGGAGAAAUCCGGGGUUAUAGGACUGCGACAUGGACUUGAAAUUGAUAGAAGAAGCUGUUGGAAAGCAGCACAAAACAGGGUGAUAGUCCCGUAUUCGAAAUCAAUUUCAUACCUAGCAGGAUCCUGAGUACGUCGAAAAAUGUUAUUUUGACGGAAUUUGCCCAAACCAUUGGGUAAGCCUAAAUACUAAUCUAGUGACCGAUAGUGAACAA
rnacentral:sRNA from 1 species